GGGCCGUGUCAACUGCCUGAUUCAGUGAACAUUACAAUGGUUAAUUGUCGGGAUCACAACAGACGUCACAAACUCCAGGCAGGUUAAAAUCUCUCAGCCUUGAGGAAAGCUGCUGCCAGUCAUUCUUCUCUAGACUGAAAGAGUCUGUUAGAAUCAAGUUCAGAUAAGGAUGUUUAUAGAGCAAAGAGCCACAGAAGAUAUACGUCUCUCCAGGGAAGAGGACAGAUUGGUUUUCUGACUAUGAUAAAAUGGAUAACAUAUCUCUCUGGGACAAAGGUUGGCUCAGACUGGACCUUCAGACCAGGCACCAGCAGCAAAGAAGUGGAAUGUAGUUUGUUACUUCCCUGUGCCUCUAUCUCCUCUCCACUAUUUCUGAUGCCUCCAGGAUUAGGGUUGUUAAAGGCGUGAUUAGAGGGAAAGGAAGAGUCUUCCUUCAUAAAUACUGUUGUUAUUCAUCCUUGAUGCCCUAUGUGGCCAUGUGCUAAUAUAUCAAUACAGUCUCAAGGCAGAACACAAAAUAGGUGCUCAACAAGUGUUAAGUGAAUGAAUGAAUUUAUGAGUAAAUGGAUGACUGGAACUCAGCAAUAGGUGUGUCCCAAUUGACAAAAGAUUAGAAAACACCAGCGUAUACCAUUAAAAAGGACAAAAAAAAAUAUGUAUACACAGCUCUGCUUGAUACACCAAGGUCCAUGGGGGAGAAGAGAUAAACAUGUGCAUUCAAGUUAUCACUCUAAGCCAACAAUGACCUUUUAGAAAAUGUAAUAUCCAGGACUGUGUUAACAUAAUACUAGCACAAGGAUAGUGGAACUCUGUAUUUAUAUUGCUUAUUUUGAAUAUUAAGAGUUCUCAGGUAGGUUCUCUCAACUUGCAAACAAGCUGUAGUCAUUUUUUAGCCCUAAGCCAGACUUCAUAUUUAUCCUUAUGAAAUUUUAUCUUUUUAGUUUUGACCCAUGGUUCCCCUCUCUUGUGAUCUCUUUUUAAUACUUAUCUAUUAUUUAAAAUAUAAUUGAGCCUCCAAGAGUUUUCCUCUGAAAAUAUAGCAAG
rnacentral:lncRNA from 10 species